GACGAACGCUGGCGGCGUGCUUAACACAUGCAAGUCGAACGGAAAGGCCCUGCUUUUGUGGGGUGCUCGAGUGGCGAACGGGUGAGUAACACGUGAGUAACCUGCCCUUGACUGUGGGAUAACUUCAGGAAACUGGGGCUAAUACCGGAUAGGAGCUCCUGCUGCAUGGUGGGGGUUGGAAAGUUUCGGCGGUUGGGGCUGGACUCGCGGCUUAUCAGCUUGUUGGUGGGGUAGUGGCUUACCAAGGCAUUGACGGGUAGCCGGCCUGGGAGGGGGGCCGGGCACAUGGGGCCUGCGGUACGGCGCAGACUGCAACGUGGGGCAACAGGGGAGAGUAUUGCACAAUGGGCGGGAGCGUGAUGCGGCAACUCCGCGUUCGUGAUGCCGGCUUUCUGGUUGUGAACCGCAUUCGGCUGAGACGUAGCGUUAUUGACGGUACCGGGUAAAUAAGCACCGGCUAACUUCGUG
rnacentral:rRNA from 1 species